rnacentral:rRNA from 1 species
CCCCUAGAUGUUCUGGGCCGCACGCGCGCUACACUGGUCGAUGCAACGAGUUUCUUUCCUUGGCCGACAGGCCUGGGCAAUCUUUGAACAUCGAUCGUGAUCGGGAUAGAUUCUUGUAAUUUUUGAUCUUAAACGAGGAAUUCCUAGUAAACGCAAGUCAUCAGCUUGCAUUGAUUACGUCCCUGCCCUUUGUACACACCGCCCGUCGCACCUACCGAUUGAAUGGUCCGGUGAAAUCUCCGGACUGGCGUGAGUCGGAGCAAUCUGACAAACACCGGAAAGUUGAUUAAACCUUACCAUUUAGAGGAAGGUGAAGUCGUANCA